GAGUGGUAGUUCCAAGUGAUCCAAUCUAGGGGAUUUCCUUUUUAGCACUAUUUGGAUAAUGGAUUUCCCUUGUUUGAGUGGAAGUGUCAGUCCCAAGGCCAAGGCAAGUAGAAGAAUCUUUCUAAGAAUCCUCUUUUUUGGUAGGGCUAUAUUGAUUUUUUUCUUCCCUGGUGAGGCUUUCUAUCUUUCUUUCCUUGAUUUGCUUUCUCUUUAGACAAAGA
rnacentral:lncRNA from 1 species